UUUCAUAUUUGGUAUGCAUGUGUAUCUAGACACCACCUAUCCAUUCGCAUACAAUUUUUUACCCUUGACCUUCAACUUUGGGUCAGUUUUAAGGUUUUGAAAUCUGUGACCGCGAUUCGAAAAAGGCUCAUAACUACUGUGUCCCUUCAGAUAUUGCUGUCAUAUUUGGUAUGUAUGUGUAUCUAGACAACAUCUUUUCAUGCGCAUACAAUUUUGUACAUGCUACCUUGACCUUGAACUUGAGGUCAGCGUUCAGGUUUCUGAAUCUGCGA